rnacentral:tRNA from 21 species
GCGGAUGUAGCUCAGUUGGCUAGAGCGUCGCCUUGCCAAGGCGAAGGUCGCGGGUUCGAACCCCGUCAUCCGCUCCA